GAUGUGGUGUGAGCAUUAACGACGGUGUGUCGCAUUUUAAAUUUCUGGGAGGAUUGACAGAUUGAGAGCUCUUUCUUGAUUCGGUGGAUGUUAGUGCAUGUCCGUUCUUAGUUGGUGGAGCGAUUCGUCUGGUUAAUUCCUACAAUGAACAAGACUCUGGACUAUUAAAUAGGUACGUAGUUCUCCGGACCUUGCACCCUUCUUAAAGGGACAAACGGCUCCUAGCCGCACGAAACAGAGAAAUAACAGGUCUGAGGUGCACUUAGAUGUCCGGGGCCGCACGCGCGCUGCACUGAAGGAUGCAGCGUGUUUUUAUUCCUGUCU
rnacentral:ncRNA from 1 species